rnacentral:rRNA from 1 species
GUAGGGUGCGAGCGUUAAUCGGAAUUACUGGGCGUAAAGCGUGCGCAGGCGGUUGGUUAAGUCUGAUGUGAAAGCCCCGGGCUCAACCUGGGAAUGGCAUUGGAAACUGUCCAGCUGGAGUGUGGCAGAGGGGGGUGGAAUUCCGCGUGUAGCAGUGAAAUGCAUAGAGAUGCGGAGGAACACCGAUGGCGAAGGCAGCCCCCUGGGCCAACACUGACGCUCAGGCACGAAAGCGUGGGGAGCAAACAGGAUUAGAUACCCUGGUAGUCCACGCCCUAAACGAUGAAUGCUUGGUGUGGCGGGUAUCGAUCCCUGCCGUGCCGAAGCUAACGCAUUAAGCAUUCCGCCUGGGGAGUACGGUCGCAAGGCUG